rfam:Trichinella pseudospiralis scaffold115s, whole genome shotgun sequence.
AGCUUUGCGCAGAGGCGAUACCGUAGCCAGUGAGGUUCUACCGAGGUGCGGUUAUUGCUGGUUGAAAACUUUAACCAAUUCCCCGCCUUAAAAGUCUGAAAAAUGGCUUUUAAUGGCAAUUUUUGAAAGCCCGCAAGGGC